GUCCGCGGGCGCAAUAUCUCUGCGAAUGAGGGUUAGCUGCUUGCCGAAGGUACAGUACACGGGAUAAAAAGGAAAGCUGCAAAAAAACGGGAGGGAAAUACUUUCGGUAUUGACUGAGAGGCUUUAUUAGCCGUUGAUGCAUGUCAGAAAACAAAUUUUAACAUGCCGGUCCCGUGUUUUGCAGCAAACGGAAAAACUGCUACGGACCUGAGGCUGCGAUAGGCAGAGGAUAUUUAUUGAGAAUAAUUUGCAGACCAGGAUCCCAAUGCAAGUUCUCCAUUAAGCGGAGUGAUCAGGAUCUGAGUAUCAUUGACACUUAACAGUGAAAGGAAAGAGGUUUAACCAUUCUAUGCGUGGGAGAAUACUCCUGGACCUUUCGUGAUCUAAUCCCGUAACAGUGUGAGCUGCUACAAUGCACAUGCUAGUAAAAGCAUAAGAGGACAGAUGAGAUGAGUGCAUGGCUGGAGCUAUAACUUAAAAAGAUUUGGAUUCCUGAGGCAUUGAGACUGUUUGUUUGUUUCUGGGGAAGGUGGGACAUGCACAAGCUUGAACAAUUGUCCUGGGCAGAGCUGGGACAGAUAUUCUUGUUGAUGCUUUUGCUAGUUCCACUGGUGAGGAUUUAAACUCGUAUGACAGGGGAAUGGGAACCAAAGUAUACCUUUAGCAGUAAAAGACUCAAAUCAGCAAAUGGGACGUGAAAUUAGUUCAUGAUGUUGUCGGUGGCUGAAAGAUUAAAAGAAAGAAGGAUUAAUCAAGAUCAAAUCUCUUUUCAUACAUCAGUCCUGUGAUCCCAGGAAUUGGUCUGGUGAACCUUCUUUGCGAUCAUUCAGUAGCCAGACCAUCCUUCCUUUGGAAAGGAGAACAAAGGUGCACACUACUGCAGGUGUGGUCUCACCAAGGCCCUUCUAGAAAGACAUCCCUCUUCCUGUACUCGAAUCCUGUCACAAUGAAGGCCGAAAUAUCAUUUGCAUUCUUCACUACUUGCUGCUGCCUGUUUCCUAAAAGAGAAUAGGAGAGAAACACGGAACUAAAUGGGGUCAGACAGUCGGGUACAAUUGUUGAACACACUGUCCCCAUUGUAUCGGUGCUGGCCAUCAAGCACCUAUUUAAGCUAGGCCCGUUUUCUGGCACUCGGUGUGUAACCUAUAUUAUGGUGCAGUGGAUGAUCAUCUCAACACUUCUUCAAGAUUGCAAUGGUUCCUGCAUCUAUUAACAUUUCAGAUGCUGCCAGAUCUACUGUGUAUCUCCAUCUUUUUCUGUUUUUAUUCCAGAUUUCGGGUAUUUUGCUGUGUAUUCUUAGUCCUUCAGAAGCAUCAGAGGGUAUGGGGAGAAAACAGGAAUUGGAUUCAUUUUCAGAUGUAUAAAAUGCCUGCCCUUCAUGUCUGUCCAAACUCUAUCUCUUUUUGUAGUUUUGGGCAAACGCUGACUGUUUCCCUUCCCUGAAGGACAUUAAAUGAACCAGUUCAGUUUUACUGAUAAUCCAGCAGUGCCCCUCAGUGUUGCAUCCACAAUUGACCAGAUUAAUUUCUGAGUUUCACAAUCUUUGUGUGUGUUCUUCUGGUUUCUCUCUCUCUCUCUCUCUCUCUCUCUCUCUCUCUACUUUUCUUUUUUUUCUUCAGUUUGAAAUUUUGAUUGCAUUCAGAGAAAUCAAACAAAACCACAUCCAGAUCUGACACUCAAUCUGUUUGUCAUAACCUAAUUAUCUCAGGAUUUUGAACAUUAAAGGAAGAAGCACUGUUCACACCAGGGAGAAAUGCGUAUUGUCUGUGUGUCGAAGAGUCUUUGAAGAUUCAUCUGAAAUGCCCAAACACCAGCGCAGUCACACUUGGGAGAGACUGUGGAAAUGUGGGGAUUGUGGGAAGGGAUUUAUUUACCCAUCCCAGCUGGAAAUGCACCAACGCAGUCACACUGGGGAGAAACCGUUCAUUUGCUCUGAUUGUGGGCUGGGAUUCACUCAGUCAAACAACCUGCUGA